rnacentral:lncRNA from 1 species
CAAAUCCCAUAACACAAAUAUUUGUUUACUUAAUGGUGUCCCACAAGUCUUAUAGGCAUUCUUCACUUCAGAGAUUCUUACGCUUGAUCAAGUCUUCUAUUGAAGGUCUCUGCUGUAUUUUUUUAUUUCACUGAUUGAAUUCUUCAAAUACAGAAGCUGGAUGAAGAAUCCAAGCUGUUAACCAUUACAAAAAGCUGCCUCUCCAUUGGUCAACUCAGCAUCCCCCCUAAGUUACAUGAUCACCUCUGCACUUUUGCUUAAAUUAUUUCCCCCUCUCUAAUUUUGUCCUACUCAUCUUUUAUAUCCUGAGCUCUCACUGAAGCUCUCCAUGCCUCACCAACUCUCAGUGACUUCUCCUCUCCUUUUCUUCUUUUGUUUGAGACGGCAGAAAAGUGGUUUUCUUUGAGAGAGACAUCCUUGAGAAAGCUACAGACCCUCUCCUGACAAAAAAUAACAGAUAAACAUUUUUACGAAUUUUUCAUCAAAUAUCUGGGUGCUCCAGAUCCCCUAAAGUUAAGACACCCUGCCUGAAAGGGUCUCAUAUCAGCUACUCACAGCUUAGUUAGGAGCAAACAGGUGAGGGGAGAGCAGGAAUAUUACCAAAGACUUAAAG